rnacentral:rRNA from 1 species
CCUACGGGAGGCAGCAGUGAGGAAUAUUGGUCAAUGGGCGGAAGCCUGAACCAGCCAAGUCGCGUGAGGGAUUAAGGCCCUGCGGGUCGUAAACCUCUUUUGCCGGGGAGCAGAGGUCCGGACGUGUCCGGGCCUGGCGAGUACCCGGAGAAAAAGCAUCGGCAAACUCCGUGCCAGCAGCCGCGGUAAUACGGAGGAUGCGAGCGUUAUCCGGAUUUAUUGGGUUAAAGGGGUGCGUAGGCGGGCAUUUAAGCCGGCGGUCAAAUGUCGGGGCUCAACCCCGGCCGGCCGUCGGAACUGGAUGCCUUGAGUGGGCGAGAAGUAUGCGGAAUGCGUGGUGUAGCGGUGAAAUGCAUAGAUAUCACGCAGAACCCCGAUUGCGAAGGCAGCAUACCGGCGCCCUACUGACGCUGAGGCACGAAAGUGCGGGUAUCGAACAGGAUUAGAUACCCCAGUAGUC